rnacentral:rRNA from 1 species
GGGAACGUACCCUUCGGUUCGGAAUAACUCAGGGAAACUUGAGCUAAUACCGGAUACGCCCUUUUGGGGAAAGGUUUACUGCCGAAGGAUCGGCCCGCGUCUGAUUAGCUUGUUGGUGGGGUAACGGCCUACCAAGGCGACGAUCAGUAGCUGGUCUGAGAGGAUGAUCAGCCACACUGGGACUGAGACACGGCCCAGACUCCUACGGGAGGCAGCAGUGGGGAAUAUUGGACAAUGGGCGCAAGCCUGAUCCAGCCAUGCCGCGUGAGUGAUGAAGGCCUUAGGGUUGUAAAGCUCUUUUGCCCGGGACGAUAAUGACGGUACCGGAAGAAUAAGCCCCGGCUAACUUCGUGCCAGCAGCCGCGGUAAUACGAAGGGGGCUAGCGUUGCUCGGAAUCACUGGGCGUAAAGGGCGCGUAGGCGGCCGAUUAAGUCGGGGGUGAAAGCCUGUGGCUCAACCACAGAAUUGCCUUCGAUACUGGUUGGCUUGAGACCGGAAGAGGACAGCGGAACUGCGAGU